rnacentral:tRNA from 1 species
GAGGGUAUAGCUCAGUGGUAAAGUGCAUGCUUAGCAUGCACAAGGUCCGGGGUUCAAUCCCCAGUACCUCCA